rnacentral:misc_RNA from 1 species
GGACUAGUUGAUAAACUAUAAAUAUCUAUGUCUAAGUAUUUUACGAGGGAGCUUAUUAUUAUGAUUAUUAUCAAGAAUUAUUAAAAUUUUUGAGAAUUAGUUUCUCUAGAGUAUUUAUUUCUCUUCGUUUAUGUCUUGAGAAUUUGUUUUUAUUGAACUUUGGUUUUUUCCUGUUCUACAUCAAAUAAAGAAGAGGAUCCAUCUUUAUAUCACAUUGAAC